AUAUCAAUAAGCGGAGGAAAAGAAACUAACAAGGAUUCCCCUAGUAACGGCGAGUGAAGCGGGAAGAGCUCAAAUUUAAAAUCUGGUUUGCUUGCAAAUCCGAGUUGUAGUCUGAAGAAACGUUUUCCAUGAAAAUCGAGGCACAAGUCCUUUGGAACAGGGCAUCAUAGAGGGUGAGAAUCCCGUCCAUGGUCUCGAAUCUUUCAUUUUGUGAUACGUUUUCUAAGAGUCAGGUUGUUUGGGAAUGCAGCCUAAAAUGGGUGGUAAAUUUCAUCUAAAGCUAAAUAUUGGCGAGAGACCGAUAGCGAACAAGUACCGUGAGGGAAAGAUGAAAAGAACUUUGAAAAGAGAGUUAAAAAGUACGUGAAAUUGUUGAAAGGGAAACGCUUGAAGUCAGUCGCGUCGACCGAGACUCAGCCUCGCCUCGGCUUGGUGUACUUCUCGGCUCGGCGGGUCAGCAUCGAUUUCGAUCCUCGGAUAAUGGCAAGGGAAAGGUAGCACCUUUUUAGGUGUGUUAUAGUCCUCUGUCGCAUGCGAGGGUCGGGAUCGAGGAACUCAGCACGCACCUCAGGGUGUCGGGGCCUUGGCCCACGUUUACGUGCUUAGGAUGCUGGCGUAAUGGCUUUAAACGA
rnacentral:rRNA from 1 species